CCAAGCUGGAACUGAAGCUGCCUGAGAGUAAUACAGUGGUUCAGAUUCCAAAGAGGAGGAAGAAGAGCCAGAGAAGGCAGGGAGUUGGCAGACAUAGUCCUUAAGAUAGGAGGGAGGAUUAUGUGUCCUGGUAGAUUUUCUGAAAACAGGAGCAGAAGGAGAGGAAGGCAAAAUAGGAGGUGAAGGAAGAAUAGGAUCAAAAGAAGGUGGAGGGACAGAGGAGGGAGAAUCAGGGAGAUCAUCAUUUUCUCCAGAAGGCAAGGAAGAAA
rnacentral:lncRNA from 1 species